AAGGAAUAUCACUCUCAGAGAAAAUUGGUGAUGGUAAUGGAGUGUUUACGAAUGCCCUCGAAAACCAAAUGUUUAAAAGGCAUAGAGAAAAAAGGCGUAUCUUGGGAGCUGAACACGAGUACUUCCGGGCAUAUUUUUCAGAAAUGGGUCUUCUGGACGUUUACAAUAGUGUGCGACGUAAUGGAUUGAUAAACAACUGGAGAGCACUAGGAUAAGCUUCCUACAGUAAAACCAUUGAAACUUCCACAAACUAUUAUAGAUCGCGAGCAGAAGCAGGAUAUAAUGUUGAUGCCCAAGUAAAUCGCAUUGAACGUAUCCUAGCCUAUCGGCGGCAGGACGUUGCCAAACAUGGUGGUGGCGACGAGGGCCAUAACGCUACUAUUGCCAAAUGGCAGAAUGGGCUGGAACGAAUUCAGGGUGGUCAACAGCGACAUUAUUGUCAAUACCAUCAUGACCUCAAAAAGAGGAGCGUCAGAAACCGAGGAUGGAGCAGACGACGUUUUUCGUUCCGUAGAGGAGGAAGAAGGUGUCGCCUCUCAAGCAACAGGAGAGGAGACAGACGAUUUCGAUUUCAGAACAGAGGACGAAGUGGCAGACGACUCUCUUGUUAAUUUUAGAGCAGACUUGAA